AUCCGUAAUUAAGGUAUAAAAAGACAACGCCGACCUUAUGUUUUUAUCGACUGCAGAAGACCUCCUUCUUAAAGGUUUCUGUACCUGCAUCAAGGAGCUGAACAACAUCCACCAUGAAGAUUACACUGCUCUGCGCUUUCUUGGUCGUCUUCCUGGCCAUCUCGUUCGUCCACGGAACCCCCGCCAACAAUGGCAGAGGAUUGGGCGGCGCCAAGGGCGGUAAGGAAAUGAUGUACGAAUAUGAUGGUGAGAUGGGAGACAAUGGAAUGCUGUACGACUAUAAUGACAUGAGGACCGGUGAAAAAAUUGGAGACCGCGAUGUAGGGUGUAAGAAGUGGUGCUGGAUAAGAUGGAACGGUCGCCUCUACAUUUGGUGCUGCUUGGCAAUCUAGACACUAGAGCAACAAACAACAAGACCAACACCCCGGAACACGAAUUGGACUGGCACUCGAUAGCGAUGUAUCAAUAUAUAUAUAUAUAUAUAUCAAUAUAUCAAUGUAUUAUGUGCAUUAAAAAAAUAAAAAAAUAAAUAUAUGAAUGUAA